UUAGCUCAGUUGGUAGAGCGCUACCCUUACAAGGUAGAUGUCACAAGUUCGAGUCUUGUA
rnacentral:tRNA from 1 species